GACUCGGUGGCGGAUGGCCCGCGUCCGCUUAACAUGAUCCCGAUCCGUGACCCUGAAUGUGGAAGCCGCCUGUUCGAAUCAGGCCCGAGUUC